CAGCCGCCGCGGGAACACGAAGGGGGCUAGCGUUGUUCGGAUUUAUUGGGCGUAAAGCGAGCGCAGGCGGUUAGAUAAGUCUGAAGUUAAAGGCUGUGGCUUAACCAAAGUACGCUUUGGAAACUGUUUAACUUGAGUGCAAGAGGGGAGAGUGGAAUUCCAUGUGUAGCGGUGAAAUGCGUAGAUAUAUGGAGGAACACCGGUGGCGAAAGCGGCUCUCUGGCUUGUAACUGACGCUGAGGCUCGAAAGCGUGGGGAGCAAACAGGAUUAGAUACCCCAGUAGUCCCUGUCUCUUAUACC
rnacentral:rRNA from 1 species